UAUGUGAUCGUCUCUCGCAUAUCAAUAAGCGGAGGAAAAGAAACUAACAAGGAUUCCCCUAGUAACGGCGAGUGAAGCGGGAAGAGCUCAAAUUUGAAAUCUUAAAGGGUUUCCCUUUACGAAUUGUAGUUUAAAGAAGUGUUUUCUGUUGAGGUUUUGGUAAAAGUUCUUUGGAAUAGGACAUCAUAGAGGGUGAGAAUCCCGUAUUUGACCUUUACUUUCAACUUUGUGAUACACUUUCAAAGAGUCGGAUUGUUUGGGAAUGCAGUCCAAAAUGGGUGGUAAAUUUCAUCUAAAGCUAAAUAUUGGCGAGAGACCGAUAGCGAACAAGUACCGUGAGGGAAAGAUGAAAAGAACUUUGAAAAGAGAGUUAAACAGUACGUGAAAUUGUCAAAAGGGAAGCGUUUGACACCAGUGUUGUUUUUCUGAAAAUCAAUUAAAGAACUGUUUAUGCUAAGCUUGUUUAGACUUUAUCAGCUAUCUGCUUAGUUUUGAGCUUUUCUUUAAUGCACUUUUCAGUUAACAAGUCAACAUCAAUUUCUUUUGCUGUAAAAAAGCUUGAGGAAGGUGGCUUGAGAUUCGUCUUAAGUGUUUAUAGCCUCUUGCCUAUGCAGUCGGAGAGAUUGAGGUCUGCAGCGUAGAUCCUUCGGGGCUAAAUGCAUUUGUGCUAAGUUAUAGCAUUUUAUAGACAACUUGUUGACUAUGAUUUGUCUUGUAGCUUACUCGCUUAUGUUAUUUUACCUACGCUUAGGAUGUUGAUCUACAGAGCGAGAGU
rnacentral:rRNA from 1 species